GGCUCCUUCAAUUGAACUCUCUAUCUCUGAAUUUGCACUGCUACUUCUCUUGAGCAAUUGUAAAUCACAAAACCCAUUUGUUGAACUAAAUGAAAAUGAGGAGGAUGAAGAAGCCGAAGAAGAACCAGAAGAAGAUGAUAAUUGCUUAUUUGCAGAAUGCCGUUGAAUCACCCCUGAGAAGGAUCUCCUUUGGCUGUGAAAACCUUCUCUAGCCAUCUCUCUCUCAAUACUUUUCUUGAGAAUAUUUGAUAUCUCGCAU
rnacentral:misc_RNA from 1 species